UACGAGGGAGGCUAGCGUUGCUCGGAAUUAUUGGGCGUAAAGAGCUCGUAGGCGGUCUGUUGCGUCGGCUGUGAAAACCCGAGGCUCAACCUCGGGCCUGCAGCCGAUACGGGCAGACUAGAGUUCGGCAGGGGAGACUGGAAUUCCUGGUGUAGCGGUGAAAUGCGCAGAUAUCAGGAGGAACACCGGUGGCGAAGGCGGGUCUCUGGGCCGAUACUGACGCUGAGGAGCGAAAGCGUGGGGGAGCGAACAGG
rnacentral:rRNA from 1 species